GAGGGAGCCUGAGAACCGUCCCUCUUCAAAAGCAAGGUUCCCAUGCUUGGCCUGUAACCAUGGAAGCAGAUGCCUUUUUUGCUUACCCCUGCUUACCUCUUUGCAGCCACGAGCUGCUCCCUAUUGUUAAAAGGGGUACGCCUUGAUUUUUCUUCGUCGUGACCGAACUUGCCUCUUCUUCAAAGGGCAUGAUGCUGCAGGUCAUUGGUCUAGACUGUUUGCACGGUCCAGAGAACAGCCUUGAUGUAACCCUUGCUCCGUCUGUGCCACACCACCAGCCGUGCGACUGCAGACUGUAGGGGGACAUCGGAGAUCUGUAUUUGAAAAGAAGUCCGUCCGAUUUUGCCAUUGUGCCUUUUCAGUCAUCGAUCGAAUGAAUAUCGAACCUUCUGUCGUUGCAUGUGUGAAAUAGAUAGCUUAGCAAGCACUUUUGUGCCCAGACCUGUGCAGUGGGCCAAACUCUUCUCCUUUAUUCACAAAUAUUUUUUUUUGCAAUAUAGUAAUUUCUUAGGUACUUUAAAUACCAGCAUCCUAACGUUGGACCAGCCUCAGAAAAGAGCUUUGUUUUUUAUUCUUUUUUGCUGUAAUCUGCUUGAUGGAGCCGCUACUGAUUUGGGGUUUUAUUUUUCUUUUAAGUUCUUUCUCUUUUACCCAUUCCCAGUUGAACAUCAGCCCCCCUAGAAGUGCAAAGGAGGUUGGUUUUGCCCCAGAAUUGUGAGAGUUUUCAAAGCAAAAUACUGAUUGGAGGUUUGAGGCUUUAAAAAUAACAGAGGGAAAGAAAAAAGAAGAAGGGGGGGGGGGGACUUGGAAAGCUUCCAACAUAUAUCCAAUAUGUAAGAAAUCCAGAAGAUACGUUAAAUUUUAAAAAGAUUACAAGUAAAAUAGGUAGCUGUAAGAAAAGACAGGCAUUAUAAUACAUAAAUGACCUGGAAGCAGUGGCUUAAAACCUAAAAGAAUCACAUCUUAUUUCUUCCCUAGAUAUACUAAUAUACUGGAUGUACUCCAUAUAUUACUAUACUAAGACAAGUAAUUUGGAAAAUUAAGAUCUGAUAGUAUGAGAACUCUAAAACACUUCUCACUCUUCUGUACUAUUGUACAAAUAUUUUAAGUAGUGACAUGCCAGCUUACUUUCUUUUAUUUUUAAGGGUUAAUUUAAUUUAAAAAAAAAUUGUAUCGAUAGACGUCCAAAACCCAACAAGAAAUUCUGAAAAUCUUGCUAAGUCAGUGAGAAAAUGCAGCUGAAGUGCUCAACCAAAGAGUUCAACAGGACUCCAGGAACUGCAGGGUUGGGGGAGAUGCUCUAAUACCUUAGAACAGAAGAGCCAGAAAUGUAUGGAAAAUGAUACAUUCUUGAAAUCAAUCGGUAAGCAACUUUUUCCUCUUCUUUUAAUAGAACGGCAAACUCUCUGACCGCUGCCUGUCAAAAAACAAUAACCCAGUGACAGCCAUCAGCACCUACUCAUUGAAAAAUAUGCCCGUCUCUACUCUGUUCUAAUAAAAUGCGGAUUGCAUCAAAAAGGGAAUAUUCUUCAGGGUGUUGCUUACCCAGUGUUGUCUGUAUAUGACAUCAGUAUAUAUAUUUUUGAGAUACUACUAUCUCGUACUUCAAGGCAUACCUAUUUUCUCUAAUUGCCAGAGGCUAAGGGGAGGUGCACUAAAGAAUAAAGAAGGUUAUUGUGACAGAUGAAACAUAAUUCACAAUGAGUACUCUUUUCAUCCAGCCUUAAGUAGCAGAGGAUUACUCCGAGCUGAAUUUUAGGGGAGUAUGUAUGAUCUGAUUUAAUAAUAUGAGGACAGGCCACAAGCUGGAAGGCAAUAUAAACCAAUUAUGCUUUUGCUGAAUGUUUGGGGGGUUUUGUUGUUGUUUUUGGUGGUUUUUUUUCCCUCUUCUUUUCUGGAAGGUGAAGAAAUGUUAACGUGAAGAGUGUCUGAAGAAACACGAGGAAAAGUAAGAAGUGCCGAGAAAUAAAAGUUGGGAUUUUCUGGAAUGGAUAUUGAUAAAUGAUUAUUCUAUAUUUCUGCUUCAUGACACUUAAAUGAAAUAAGACCAUGCAAUUUCUUCAGUAAACAUGCGCUGUGAAACACAUAAAACUUUCAGCAAAAUUGAAGGGGAAGGUCUUCUUAGCAAAAGAAGGAAAAAAGAGUGUCUCUGAAUAUGCUUGCAUGCAACAACAACAACGAAAGAAGUCCACAACUGAAGACUAAAAAACAUUGUUUUAAUGCUGAGUCAAAUUAUGGGCAUUCGUAUCUUUCACAGAUCUAAAAAUGUUACUAUGUGUUAUUUUAAUUCUUUUCUGUAAAACAGUUCAGAUCUGCUGAUUUAAAAUGUUUUCUAUAAAACAUAACUACGGCUGGCUGGAUGUAUAUCAAGUGCACUCCAUCAUUUUUAAUUGCCA
ensembl:lncRNA